GACGAACGCUGGCGGCGUGCCUAAUACAUGCAAGUAGAACGCCGAAGGAGGAGCUUGCUUCUCUGGAUGAGUUGCGAACGGGUGAGUAACGCGUAGGUAACCUGCCUGGUAGCGGGGGAUAACUAUUGGAAACGAUAGCUAAUACCGCAUAACAGUAGAUGUUGCAUGACAUUUGCUUAAAAGGUGCAAUUGCAUCACUACCAGAUGGACCUGCGUUGUAUUAGCUAGUUGGUGGGGUAACGGCUCACCAAGGCAACGAUACAUAGCCGACCUGAGAGGGUGAUCGGCCACACUGGGACUGAGACACGGCCCAGACUCCUACGGGAGGCAGCAGUAGGGAAUCUUCGGCAAUGGACGGAAGUCUGACCGAGCAACGCCGCGUGAGUGAAGAAGGUUUUCGGAUCGUAAAGCUCUGUUGUAAGAGAAGAACGAGUGUGAGAGUGGAGAGUUCACACUGUGACGGUAUCUUACCAGAAAGGGACGGCUAACUACGUGCCAGCAUCCGCGGCUAUACGUAGGGUCCCGAGCGUUGUCCGGAUUUAUUGGGCGUAAAGCGAGCCCAGGGGGGUAGAUAAGUCUGAACUUUAAGGCUGUGGCUUAACA
rnacentral:rRNA from 1 species